GUUGAAAUAUUUUUUUCUUAAUGUUUUGUGAGGCUUUGGAUGCCUCAUUUUGUAGCCAAAUUUAUUUUCUAAAUGAAUGAAGCGGUAGCAUGCUAUCUUUUCUCAAAAAAAAAGAAAAAAAAAAACUUUGAGUAGAAAAUAAGAGCUGUCACCUGCAUAGUCUGCAAUUUUGUUAAUAUCUGGAAAAAUCGACUUAUCGAUUAGUAUCAUCCUAUCCAACCAAAAUCAAUUCUCUAAAUCAAAUAAAUUUCACAAAAAGUUAUUUUUUCUGAAUCUAGGCCAAAUUGUUUUUUUUUUUUUUUUUUUUUACCCUCUCUUUCUUUCUCCUUUUCCAAAAUUAUUUCCAUCCUUUUCAAGUCCCAAUCCUACUGCCCC
rnacentral:lncRNA from 1 species